rnacentral:rRNA from 1 species
GACGAACGCUGGCGGCGUGCCUAAUACAUGCAAGUAGAACGCAGUUGCGAACGGGUGAGUAACGCGUAGGUAACCUGCCUUGUAGCGGGGGAUAACUAUUGGAAACGAUAGCUAAUACCGCAUACUACAAGAUGGACCUGCGUUGUAUUAGCUAGUAGGUGAGGUAACGGCUCACCUAGGCGACGAUACAUAGCCGACCUGAGAGGGUGAUCGGCCACACUGGGACUGAGACACGGCCCAGACUCCUACGGGAGGCAGCAGUAGGGAAUCUUCGGCAAUGGGGGCAACCCUGACCGAGCAACGCCGCGUGAGUGGAGAAGGUUUUCGGAUCGUAAAGCUCUGUUGUAAGUCAAGCGGUAGCUUACCAGAAAGGGACGGCUAACUACGUGCCAGCAGCCGCGGUAAUACGUAGGUCCCGAGCGUUGUCCGGAUUUAUUGGGCGUAAAGCGAGCGCAGGCGGUUUGAUAAGUCUGAAGUUAAAGGCUGUGGCUCAACCAUAGUUCGCUUUGGAAACUGUCAAACUUGAGUGCAGAAGGGGAGAGUGGAAUUCCAUGUGUAGCGGUGAAAUGCGUAGAUAUAUGGAGGAACACCGGUGCGAAAGCGGCUCUCUGGUCUGUAACUGACGCUGAGGCUC